AAAAUAACAUUUGUACCGUAGACAGCAGGUGCUCCACGGAGCUUAAUUUCCCGCCGAGGUCAUUGCGAUAUAUUAUAUUCAAUCUGUUUGCACAGAUUGAACGCAAAACCUCCAUGUCUAUUGCCUGGAGGUUUUUUAUAUUUA
rnacentral:sRNA from 1 species